AUCGAACGCUGGCGGCAGGCUUAACACAUGCAAGUCGAGUGGGGUGAGGUGCUUCGGUACUGAUCCUAGCGGCGGACGGGUGAGUAAUGCUUAGGAAUCUGCCAUUUAGUGGGGGACAACAUUACGAAAGGAAUGCUAAUACCGCAUACGUCUUACGGGAGAAAGCAGGGGAUCUUCGUACCUUGCGCUAAAUGAUGAGCCUAAGUCGGAUUAGCUAGUUGGUGGGGUAAAGGCCUACCAAGGCGACGAUCUGUAGCGGGUCUGAGAGGAUGAUCCGCCACACUGGGACUGAGACACGGCCCAGACUCCUACGGGAGGCAGCAGUGGGGAAUAUUGGACAAUGGGCGGAAGCCUGAUCCAGCCAUGCCGCGUGUGUGAAGAAGGCCUUUUGGUUGUAAAGCACUUUGAGCGAGGAGGAGGCUACCUGGAUUAAUACUCUGGGAUAGUGGACGUUACUCGCAGAAUAAGCACCGGCUAACUCUGUGCCAGCAGCCGCCGUAAGAC
rnacentral:rRNA from 1 species